UCAAACGGACUGAAAGUGAGGGUGGGGGUGAGGGUAGGGCCAGGAUUCCAUUCAGGAAAGCCAGUAACUGUCAUCGGGGAACUGGCAAUGGAAAAAGGAAGAGGGAGGCAUGCAAGAGCAAGAAUCCAAAAAAGUUGAAAUGGUUAGGGGAGGAAACUCCCAAAGACCCUGGAGUACAUCGGAGGUGAGAACGACAUAGCAAUCUUUUCCUUUGUAGCGGAUGGGGAGGAGUCCCUGUUUGGCUGCAAACUCUGGAUGAGGGCUGGGGAUUGAGAGCUUACCAGAGAGCAUCACAAGAAGGUGUCGCACCACUCUUGAAGGCAUCCAAAGUAGUCGCGGGACUGCUUGGCGUUGGUGCCACAAAUAGAACCUUCCCGGUGGCGGGAAGAGACUGUCAAUAGGCGGAAGCAACAAAGGACAUGCCGGAGAUCCCUCCGGAAACCCAGAUCUCCUCCCCGAAGCCAGAAUGCCUCGCCUCUGAAAGAAGCCCAUGUGUAUGAGGGACGGCUUCUGAGGCCACACCACCUGUGGGACUGAGUGGAUGGGUCACUAUCACCCCCCCAGAAUACACUGCAUCUUUCUCAGCCACAGGGCCUUUAUUCGUACAGCAGAAACAGUGGGACCGUGUUCAGAGCACUGCUGGGCAGGAGAGAGAAGAUACCCACUUAGAAGCAGAUUGGAGCCGCCCCAAUGUUAAGCCAGGAAAAUGCAGACAACUAAGGCAUAGAAAUAGAGGAUGCAACUGAAGGAAGCUACUGAAAGCCCCCACGUUCAUCCCCCUUAAUGUCCUAGAGGAAACUGAGACCCGGAGAGAGAUGUGACUUGCCCGAGGGCCUGGGUUGCAGCUGAAUCCCAGGGGUCUCGGCACCAUUACCUUGCUAUAUGUUCAUGGUCAGGGUGAGGUGCAAAUCGUUCCAGGGACACGCUUGAAGAUGAACCACUCAUCGAACUUCCUAAUUCUAUGCGUCAUCAACCCCGGCACACGUAGGUUUACACCCAUUGUCCCUCGCUGGGCUUGCACCAUGCGGAGGGUGGCCUGGGAGAGCAGAGAUGGUAGUAAGGGCAGUUAGAAGUGAAGGUUAGAGAGAGGAGACUGUGCCCAGGGUAGCAGCAGGAGGCAUGGAAAAGACGGAUGCAUUGUGAGGGGUGGCAGCAUUGGAACCAGGGCUGGGGCCACCCAGACCCAGACACUGGAGAGGACAAGAGAAGAGUCAGUGACAACUCCAGGGUCUGCACCCGAGGGGUCGAGAAAGCAGGUGGUAGCAGUGACCGCCCAGGAGUCUGAGGAGGGGGCUUGUUAAGUGGGGAAGGCUAGCUUCAGGCUGGGUGUGCUGGCUGCAGGGAACAGCAGCUGUGCAGACCUCUCCCCUGGGCCCUGUGCUCCUGAAAGGUGGGGCCCUGCACGCCAGCUCCAUCUUGUUGUCCCUAUCGCCGUCACAGCAGCCUGCGACGGCCCCACACUUAGCAAUUGUCAAAGGAUUGGCGGACAGUCCAAUGGGAGCUGAGGCUGGAGCUGGGGCCAGGAGCAACAGGGUCAUUAGGCUCACAUGUUGAAGGCGCGGCCCUCCCACACCGAUGCCCUCAGCCUGGGGCAUGUCCACGGGAGAGGCAGGACUGAGUAUAGGGCUGCAUGACAGGGAGCAGGAAAGCAGAAGAUGAGGAGGGUGCAGAGCCACACACGGGGGUCAGGGUGUGUGGAGAAGGGGUGGUCAGUGAGGUCUACGUGACUGAGACAAGGAGGCUGAAGCCAAGGACAGGAAUUUGGAUUGGGAUGUGGAGUAUUGUGACCGUGGGUGCCCUUAGGGCUGCUGACAGAGUCGGCAUGCAUUUAGGGUGACCAAGGGUAGACACAGAAUUGUUGGGGUUUGGGAAAACACUGGGAAAAAAACGGAAUGCCCUUCUGUUGGAAAAGCUAGAGUCAGAUGGAGCAGGCACAGGAUGAUGGUUUGGGGGUGAGAGCAUCAGGUGGAAACUCCCUUGGAAUGCGGGAGGGGGACAGGUGGGGUGCCGAGAGGAGAGUCUGGGAGGCUGGCAGGGCUGGGUCAGGCAGCCACCAGGAGGCUGUGAGGACCACGGGUGUUUCUCAGAAAGAAGCGAGGAGGAGGGACGUGAGAGCUCACUCCUGCCAGGCUCUGGGCACCUCCACCUGCCCAGAGUGAAGACGCAGCAGUGAGAUGGGAAUGGGCGCUUGGUAAAGGGGAAACACGGGGAGGCUGAGAGGAUCACAGUCAACGAACACGUAUCUUGUAUGUCACUAUGUGUGUUUAUUUUGUAAGUUAUAAGUUACUGUAGUCUUACAAUAAAGUAAGCUGGAAAAAUGUUAUUAAGAAAAUGAUAAGGGAGAGAAAAUAUAUUUACUACUCGAGAGGUGGAAGCAUAUCAUCAUAAAGGUCUUCACAUCAAGGAGGCUGAAGAGGAGGACGAGGAGGGGUAGGUCUUGCUAUCUCGGGGUGGCAGAGGUGGAAGGAAAUCUGCAGAGUGGACUCAUGCCGUUCAAACCCAUGCUGUUCAAGGGUCAGCAGGAGCCGAGGAAGGUGCUGUCUUUCCCCCAAGGCCCAGGGUUUUCUUUGCAGUACACCUCGAGAUUCAGCCUCUGGAGAAGGGGGAGGCGAGGCCAAGCUAGUCUCAUGUCAGGGAGGUGUUUGGGCCUCAGGGCAUGAGUCACCUGCCCUAGUUUUUUUUUUGCUUUUGUUUUUUGUAAAAGGCCUGCUGUUGGGUGGAUUCACAUUUUUGGUAUCAGCCUGGGAGAUCCCGAGUGCAGGAUGUGGUCCAGUCCCUCCGGUCCCUGUUCUGCUACUAAAAGCCCUCACGUUCAUCCCCCUUAAUGUCCUAGAGGAAACUGAGACCCGGAGAGAGACGUGACUUGCCCGAGGGCCUGGGUUGCAGCUGAAUCCCAGGGGUCUCGGCACCAUUACCUUGCUAUAUGUUCAUGGUCAGGGUGAGGUGCAAAUCUUCGUUCCAGGGACACGCUUGAAGAUGAACCACUCAUCGAACUUCCUAAUUCUAUGCGUCAUCAACCCCGGCACACGUCCCUCGAGCUCAGAGUCACCCAAAUGUGAGCCGGAGUGAAUGCCACCAAGCGGUCCCAGCAACACAGACUGCCUCAGUGUGACUGGAAAUUUCACUCCCCUACUGACGGAGGAGCAUGGGAGUGCUCACGCUUGUUUUCCUCAGUGAGCCAAAGAACGCCAUGUGGUCCUAUGACAGCUGCCCUGUCAUGGUGGGAGCGCACAUUGAAGAUGACAGCGUUUCUCAUUUUCUCAACUCUCUCUGAAAAUACGUGAAAUUAGGGGAAAUGAAGAGAAGAAACUGAAAUAACAAGUGAGGCUGGAGAAGAACCAGCAUCAGAAACAGAGUUCUGGAAGCCAGAAGUAAGAAACUGAGGUCCCCUUGGCCGAGCUGGUUCCCACUGAGGCUCCGAGGGAGAACCUGUCCCAGGCCCCUCUUGCAGAUCUGGGGCUCCCGGCCACCCUGGGCGUGCGUCCCUCACAUGGUUUCAAUCUCUGCUGCUUCUCCACCUGGAUUUGCCCGAGUGUCUCUGGGCCUUCAAUUCUGUUUCUCACCAGGACGCCUCACUGGACUUAGGACCCACCCUGAUCCAGGACGACCUCAUCUCCAUCCUCACCUUAAUCACAUCUGCAAAGACCCUGCUCCCACAAGGCUGCGUUCUCAGGUUCCAGGAGGACAUGAACUCACAGGGUCACGUAUCAGCCCAGAAUGGGAUGAGCUGGAGUAGAGCCAGGAUCCCGGAAGUGGGGGGGGGGGGCUCAUGGGACCCAGCAGGGAUGGGUAGGGUCCCCAGGGCACCAGGGAGGCUGCUGCGCCCCGCCCCCUUCCUGGGUUCCCCUAGGGCAGCUGCUUCCGGGGCCUUCCACCCUCUCCAUUCAACCAUUCUCCCCUGCUGAUGGGGGGCGCAGGAUGGCACUUUUGAUCUAACCAAGUUAUUGUAAGUAAGUGAUUCGGGAGCUCUUCUUCAGGCAGGUGAUCAGGGAUGAGCAGGCAGCUGAGAACAGAAGAGAUGCUGCCACCGUGGGAGA